rnacentral:rRNA from 1 species
AUGAUGAGGGAGCCGUGGAUGGAGGUGCUGCCGCCGGCGGCGAUGGGCUACUACGGCGGGCCGCGGGGCUGGUUCACGGGGCAGCCGCGCGCCUGGACGGCGGACGAGAACAAGCAGUUCGAGCGGGCGCUGGCCGGGCUCGACCUGCGCAGCCCGGACUGGGACAAGGUGGCGCACGCCACCGGCAAGACGGUCCGCGAGGUCGUCGACCACUUCAAGAGCCUCGAGCUCGACGUCCGCCAGAUCGAGUCCGGCACCUUCCCUGGCCCCGCCUACGGCCCCGGCGCCGGCGCCUUCACCCUGCAGUGGGACGGCAGCGGGGGCCACGCCGGGGCCGGGGACUUCCGGCACGGCUACCGGUUCGGCGGCUGCGGCGGCGGGAGGCGGCACGGCGGCCGCACGCCGGAGCAGGAGAGGAAGAAGGGGGUGCCGUGGACCGAGGACGAGCACAAGUUGUUCCUCCUAGGCCUGAAGAAGUACGGCAAAGGGGACUGGAGGAACAUUUCGCGCAACUUCGUGCAGACGAGGACGCCGACGCAGGUGGCCAGCCACGCGCAGAAGUACUUCAUCAGGCUCAGCUCCGGCGGCGGCAAGGACAAGAGGCGGUCGAGCAUCCACGACAUCACCACGGUGCACCUCGACGACCAGCCCCCCUCGCCGUCCCAGUCAUCCAUGAUCACCCAGUCCAGCGCACCGGCUCCGAGCGCGACAACAGGGCAGUUCUCUCUGCCAGCUGACACCAAGCAACAUGGCGGAGCGAAUGCGCCAUACAAUUCGCCGCCGAGCUACGGCAUGGGUUUGCAAGAUCAAGGCCUGCAGUGUGGCCCUCUGCAUGAUCAGCUGGCCGCGAACCGGAGCAUGCUGUAUUAG